UAAACUAGGAAUWAGAUACCCUAUUAUUUUUAUUAAAUUAAAUUUAAUUAUUUAUUAAAUGUGAAGCAUUAAAAAUAAAAAAUUUGGCGGUACUUAAUAUUUAGAGGAACUUGUUUGUUAAAUUGAUAGCCCACGAAUGGAAAAACUUAAUUUGAUAAUUUUAUGUAUUGUUAUGUAUUGUUGUUGGAAAAUUGUAUUAAGAGAUAAAAAUUAAAAAAUUUAAUUAAAUUAUAAUUCAAAUCAAAAUGUAGAAUAAUUAAGAAUUUAAAUGAGUUACAAUUAAGUAAAUAAUUGAAUUUUAUAAUUUAAUUUAUAAAUGAAAGUGGAUUUAAAAGUAAAUUUAUAAAAAUAUAUAAUUGAAAAUUUAUUUGG
rnacentral:rRNA from 1 species